rnacentral:rRNA from 1 species
GACGAAAUUAGAAAGAGCGUAUGGUGAAUGCCUUGGCAUUAAGAGUCGAUGAAGGACGCAAUUAACGGCGAUACGCCUCGGGGAGUGGUAAAUACACAAAGAUCCGGGGAUUUCCGAAUGGGGAAACCCAACAGAGGUAAUGCUCUGUUACACUUCACUGAAUACAUAGGUGACUUGGGACAACGCAGGGGAUUGAAACAUCUUAGUACCUGCAGGAAAAGAAAACAAUAGUGAUUCCCUUAGUAGCGGCGAGCGAAACGGGAACAGCCCAAACCAGCAUUGAGCUGGGGUUGUAGGACCACAAUACGGCAGUCAAAACGGUUAGGCGAAUGGCAUUGAAAGGCCAGUCAUAGAAGGUGCAAACCCUGUAGCCGAAAACUUUUUUGCGCCCAGUGGGAUCCUGAGUACGGCGAGACACGAGGAAUCUUGUCGGAAUCUGCCGGGACCAUCCGGUAAGGCUAAAUACUCCUUAAUGACCGAUAGUGGACCAGUACCGUGAGGGAAAGGUGAAAAGAACCGCGGGAGCGGAGUGAAAUAGAUCCUGAAACCAUAUGCUUACAACAAGUCAGAGCCCGUUAAUGGGUGAUGGCGUGCCUUUUGUAGAAUGAACCGGCGAGUUACGAUAACGUGCGAGGUUAAGCAGAAAAUGCGGAGCCGCAGCGAAAGCGAGUCUGAAUAGGGCUAUAGUACGUUGCCGUAGACCCGAAGCUGGGUGAUCUAGCCAUGACCAGGUUGAAGUUUGGGUGAUACCAAAUGGAGGACCGAACCGACCCCCGUUGAAAAGUUGGCGGAUGAGUUGUGGCUAGCGGAGAAAUUCCAAUCGAACUCGGCUAUAGCUGGUUCUCCCCGAAAUAGCUUUAGGGCUAGCGUCAAAGUUGAGCACCAUGGAGGUAGAGCACUGAAUGUAUGAUGGCCUCAUCUCGAGGUACUGAUUCCAAUCAAACUCCGAAUGCCAUGGCUGUAUAUUUGGCAGUCAGAACGCGGGUGAUAAGGUCCGCGCUCAAAAGGGAAACAGCCCAGAUCGUCAGCUAAGGUCCCAAAAUCUAUGCUAAGUGGAAAAGGAUGUGGGAACGCACAGACAACUAGGAGGUUGGCUUAGAAGCAGCCACCCUUCAAAGAGUGCGUAACAGCUCACUAGUCGAGUGAUCCUGCGCCGAAAAUUUACCGGGGCUAAGCAUAGUACCGAAGCUACGGCAAUACGCAAGUAUUGGGUAGGGGAGCGUUCCAUGGACGUUGAAGGUAUACCGUAAGGAGUGCUGGAGUGCAUGGAAGUGAGAAUGCCGGUGUGAGUAGCGAAAUGACGGCGAGAAUCCGUCACACCGUUUGCCCAAGGUUUCCAGGGGAAGGUUCGUCCGCCCUGGGUAAGUCGGGACCUAAGGCGAGGCCGAAAGGCGUAGUCGAUGGACAACUGGUUGAUAUUCCAGUACCCGCGUACAAGUGAUGGAGUGACAGAGAAGGCUAGUGGAGCCACCUAUUGGAUGGUGGUUUAAGCGACAUAGCUGCAGUAUAGGCAAAUCCGUACUGGUGAGGCAAGGCGCGAAUAGGAGUGAAAGGGUGACCGAGUAACAGAGGAAAUGAUGCCAGCUCUCAAGAAAAGCUUCUAGCGUUAAUUGUAUUGCGGCCCGUACCAAAACCGACACAGGUGGGCAAGGAGAGUAUCCUGAGGUGAGCGAGAGAACUGUUGCCAAGGAACUCGGCAAAAUUACCCCGUAAGUUCGCGAGAAGGGGUGCUCGAAAGAGCCGCAGUGAAAAGGCCCAAGCGACUGUUUAUCUAAAACAUAGCUCUCUGCAAAGUCGUAAGACGAAGUAUAGGGGGUGACGCCUGCCCGGUGCUGGAAGGUUAAGGGGAGUUGUUAGCCGCAAGGCGAAGCUUUGAACCGAAGCCCCAGUGAACGGCGGCCGUAACUAUAACGGUCCUAAGGUAGCGAAAUUCCUUGUCAGGUAAGUUCUGACCCGCACGAAAGGCGUAACGAUUUGGGCGCUGUCUCGGCAGCAGACUCGGUGAAAUCUUAGUACCUGUGAAGAUGCAGGUUACCCGCAACUAGACGGAAAGACCCCAUGGAGCUUUACUGUAGCCUGAUAUUGAGUUUUGAACAGUCAUGUACAGGAUAGGUGGGAGGCUUUGAAGCGUGGACGCCAGUUUACGUGGAGCCAACGUUGGGAUACCACUCUUGGUUGUUUGAAAUUCUAACCUAGGAUCCUCACUGGUCCAGGGACCGUGUCAGGUGGGCAGUUUGACUGGGGCGGUCGCCUCCCAAAGAGUAACGGAGGCGCCCAAAGGUACCCUCAGAUUGGUUGGAAAUCAAUCUACGAGCGUAAAGGCAGAAGGGUGCUUGACUGCAAGACUAACAAGUCGAGCAGGGACGAAAGUCGGGCUUAGUGAUCUGGCGGUGCAGUAUGGAAUGGCCGUCACUUAACGGAUAAAAGCUACCCUGGGGAUAACAGGCUAAUCUCGCCCAAGAGUUCACAUCGACGGCGAGGUUUGGCACCUCGAUGUCGGCUCAUCGCAUCCUGGAGCUGAAUUCGGUUCCAAGGGUUGGGCUGUCCGCCCAUUAAAGCGGUACGCGAGCUGGGUUCAGAACGUCGUGAGACAGUUCGGUCCCUAUCUGUUGUGGGCGUAGGAAAUUUGAGGAGCGCUGUCCUUAGUACGAGAGGACCGGGAUGGACACACCUCUAGUGCACCAGUUGUCGCGCCAGCGGCAUAGCUGGGUAGCUACGUGUGGAUCGGAUAAACGCUGAAGGCAUCUAAGCGUGAAACCGACUCCAAGAUGAGAUUUCCCAUUCCUUGUGAAGUAAGACCCCUUGAAGACGACAAGGUUGAUAGGUCAGAGAUGGAAGCAUGGUGACAUGUGCAGUUGACUGAUACUAAUAGGUCGAGGAUUUCAUCAC